rnacentral:misc_RNA from 1 species
AGAAGUUCUCUGUCACCGAUCACGCAACCCAUCAUUUCCCUCUCUUUAUUGCCAGAGCCCUAUAAAAGCCAAUACCUCGUUCGCAUCUCUCGCCAGAAAAGCUUACCUAAAGCCUCUUUCUACUCUUUCUCUCGCUAUAAUCAAGCCGCCUGCUUCUUUUUCUUCUUCGGUUCUUCAAAAUGGUUAUUGAAGGUAAUGAAGAUACGCCUACGCGGGUUGUCCUUACGGAGCCAACGUCAUUAGAUGGAGACUCUGAUGCUUAUAAGGCUCCUAAUCUCGUUCGAAGGAUUUUAAGUCUAUUUACAACUGUACGGCCAGGAGCAGAUUUCACAAAAUUUCAGACACUGUGGUAGAGCAGAGGGUGACAUUAUGCUGAUUUUGCAUAUUUCCAAGUUCAGCUGCCACCGCUUUUCAACAUUCCAAAGUCACACCUCCAAUGUUUUGGUGAAUCUGUGUAUUCUGUGGGUAAAGAUUUGCUGCAUGAGUGCAACAGUGAAGAGAGCUCACAAGACAGAUUCAUAUCUGUGGUUGCAUGGAGCAUUUCUACAGCUCGUCCUGUUGUCUUUGGUGUUGCUCCUUACAAUUCUAUUCUUGGAGAGACUCACCAUGUCUCUAGGGGAAGCCUCAAUGUUCUCCUAGAACAGGUUUCACAUCACCCACCUGUUUCUGCACUUCAUGCAACUGAUAAGGAAGAAAACAUUGAGAUGAUUUGGU